rnacentral:rRNA from 1 species
AUGGGCCCUCAACACCCAUCAAUGCAUGGUGUUCUUCGACUGAUCGUUACUCUCGAUGGUGAGGAUGUUAUUGAUUGUGAACCCAUAUUAGGCUAUUUACACAGAGGAAUGGAAAAA